AACGAACGCUGGCGGCGUGGAUAAGACAUGCAGGUCGAACGGGACAGACCGAGUAGCAAUAUUUGGAAUGUUCAGUGGCGAACGGGUGCGUAACACGUGGAUAACAUUCCGGAAAGCGGGGAAUAGCCCAGGGAAACUUGGAUUAAUACCGCAUGUGGCCGCAAGGCUAAAGACGGGGACCGCAAGGCCUGUCACUUUCCGAUUGGUCCGCGGCCUAUCAGCUAGUUGGCGGGGUAAUGGCCCACCGAGGCUACGACGGGUAGCUGGUCUUAGAGGACGACCAGCCACACUGGAACUGAGACACGGUCCAGACACCUACGGGUGGCAGCAGUCGAGAAUCUUUCACAAUGGGGGCAACCCUGAUGGAGCGACGCCGCGUGGAGGAUAAGGUCUUCGGAUUGUAAACUCCUGUCAUGCGAGAACAAGGUACUCAGGCUAAUAACCUGAUUGUUUGAUGGUACCGCAAGAGGAAGAGACGGCUAACUCUGUGCCAGCCGCCGCGGUAAGAC
rnacentral:rRNA from 1 species